AUGGCUUCCCUGCCUCUUCUUCCUCAGGUCCUCGUCCCCUUCCUCGUGCUGCUCUGCCUCUCUCCGGCCUGCGCUGCCCGGAGGGUCUCGGUGGCGGUCUACUACGAGACGCUGUGCCCGUUCUGCUCCGGCUUCGUCGUGAACGAGCUGGCCAGGAUCUUCCGGAACGGCCUCUCCUCCAAUGUCGACCUCCGCCUCGUCCCUUUCGGCAAUGGGCGCUUCUCGCCCGACGGGUCCAUGACCUGCCAGCAUGAGGAGGAUGAGUGCCGACUCAACGCGAUACAAGCUUGCGUUAUCAGUGUCUGGCCUGAUGCGGAACGGCAUUUCCCUUUCAUAUACUGCAUCGAGCAUUUGGCCCUGACUCAGAAAUGGGGCGCGUGGCAGUCGUGCUUUCACGAAACUGGUCUGGCCUCUCAGCCUGUCUUGGACUGCUACAACUCAGGAUACGGCAGGCAGCUUGAACUCCAGUACGCGGCAGAGACGAAUGCUCUCCAGCCCCCACACAAGUUUGUGCCUUGGGUGGUCGUGAACGGGAGACCCCUUGGCGAUGAUUACACCAAUUUUGAAGCCUACGUUUGCAAUGCUUAUGACGGCGAACUUCCAGAGGCAUGCAGGGGAAAGCACCUGCAAAUUGCUCAGCACAAAAGAGCAAGCCCAGGACACAAGAGGAAUCCAAGAGAGAUGGCCAUUGUACUUGCUUUUUGCAUUGCUCUGUGGUUCUGA
rnacentral:rRNA from 1 species